rnacentral:rRNA from 1 species
UACGUAGGGGGCAAGCGUUGUCCGGAAUCAUUGGGCGUGAAGCGCGUGUAGGCGGCCCGAUAAGUCCGCUGUGAAAGCCCAGGGCUCAACCCUGGGAUGCCGGUGGAUACUGUCGGGCUAGAGUGCGGAAGAGGCGAGUGGAAUUCCUGGUGUAGCGGUGAAAUGCGCAGAUAUCAGGAGGAACACCAAUUGCGAAGGCAGCUCGCUGGGACGUGACUGACGCUGAGACGCGAAAGCGUGGGGAGCAAACAGG